rnacentral:rRNA from 1 species
GGAAUAUUGGGCAAUGGAGGAAACUCUGACCCAGCGACGCCGCGUGCGGGAUGAAGGCCUUCGGGUUGUAAACCGCUUUCAGUAGGGAAGAAGCGAAAGCGACGGUACCUACAAAAGAAGCACCGGCUAACUAUGUGCCAGCAGCCGCGGUAAUACAUAGGGUGCAAGCGUUGUCCGGAAUUAUUGGGCGUAAAGAGCUCGUAGGUCGUUUGUUACGUCGGAUGUGAAAACCUGAGGCUCAACCUCAGGCCUGCAUUCGAUACGGGCAAACUAGAGUUUGGUAGGGGAGACUGGAAUUCCUGGUGUAGCGGUGGAAUGCGCAGAUAUCAGGAGGAACACCAAUGGCGAAGGCAGGUCUCUGGGCCAAUACUGACACUGAGGAGCGAAAGUCUGGGGAGCGAACAGGAUUAGAUACCCUGGUAGUCCAGACCGUAAACGGUGGGCACUAGUUGUGGGAACCUUCCACGGUUUCUGCGACGCAGCUAACGCAUUAAGUGCCCCGCCUGGGGAGUACGAUCGCAAGAUUAAAACUCAAAGGAAUUGACGG